ensembl:ncRNA F09G2.12 ncRNA
AUUAGUGCAAUGGACACCACCACUUGACGCUUGAUAAAUGAAGGUUUGGAGAGAGCUUGAAAGAGCUUGAAGUGAGCUCAAAAUGGAUCCAGUACGCGGUCGAAGGUCGUUCCAUUGCCCUCCUAUUCAUUCAUCAUAUCUUAGCCGGGG